GAUGAACGCUGGCGGCGUGCCUAAUACAUGCAAGUCGAGCGAACGGACGAGAAGCUUGCUUCUCUGAUGUUAGCGGCGGACGGGUGAGUAACACGUGGAUAACCUACCUAUAAGACUGGGAUAACUUCGGGAAACCGUAGCUAAUACCGGAUAAUAUUUUGAACCGCAUGGUUCAAAAGUGAAAGACGGUCUUGCUGUCACUUAUAGAUGGAUCCGCGCUGCAUUAGCUAGUUGGUAAGGUAACGGCUUACCAAGGCAACGAUGCAUAGCCGACCUGAGAGGGUGAUCGGCCACACAGGAGCUGAGACACGGUCCAGACUCCUACGGGAGGCAGCAGUAGGGAAUCUUCCGCAAUGGGCGAAAGCCUGACGGAGCAACGCCGCGUGAGUGAUGAAGGUCUUCGGAUCGUAAAACUCUGUUAUUAGGGAGGAACAUAUGUGUAAGUAACUGUGCACAUCUUGACGGUACCUAAACAGAAAGCCACGGCUAACUACGU
rnacentral:rRNA from 1 species